rnacentral:rRNA from 1 species
GACGAACGCUGGCGGCGUGCUUAACACAUGCAAGUCGAACGGAAAGGCCCCUUUGGGGGUACUCGAGUGGCGGACGGGUGAGUAACACGUGAGUAACCUGCCCUUGACUUCGGGAUAACUUCAGGAAACUGGGGCUAAUACCGGAUAGGAAUCCUUGCUGCAUGGUGGGGGUUGGAAAGCUUCGGCGGUUUUGGAUGGACUCGCGGCUUAUCAGCUUGUUGGUGGGGUAGUGGCUUACCAAGGCUUUGACGGGUAGCCGGCCUGAGAGGGCGACCGGCCACAUUGGGACUGAGAUACGGCCCAGACUCCUACGGGAGGCAGCAGUGGGGAAUAUUGCACAAUGGGCGGAAGCCUGAUGCAGCAACGCCGCGUGCGGGAUGACGGCCUUCGGGUUGGAAACCGCUUUCAGCAGGGGCGAAGCUUGUGGUGACGGUACCCGCAGAAGAAGCACCGGCUAACUACGUG